rnacentral:rRNA from 1 species
GACGAACGCUGGCGGCGUGCUUAACACAUGCAAGUCGAACGGAAAGGCCCUGCUUGUGUGGUGUUCUCGAGUGGCGCACGUGUGAGUCACACGUGAGUAACCUGCCCUUGACUUUGGGAUAACUUCAGGAAUGUGGGGCUAAUACCGGAUAGGAGCUCCUGCUGCAUGGUGGUGGUUGGAAAGUUUCGGCGGUGGGGGAUGGACUCGCGGCUUAUCAUCUUGUUGGUGGGGUAGUGGCUUACCAAGGCUUUGACGGGUAGCCGGCCUGAGAGGGUGACCGGCCACAUUGGGACUGAGAUACGGCCCAGACUCCUACGGGAGGCAGCAGUGGGGAAUAUUGCACAAUGGGCGGAAGCCUGAUGCAGCAACGCCGCGUGCGGGAUGACGGCCUUCGGGUUGUAAACCGCUUUCGCCUGUGAUGAAGCGUGAGUGACGGUAAUGGGUAAAGAAGCACCGGCUAACUACGUG